rnacentral:misc_RNA from 1 species
GAUGAAGAACGUAGCGAAAUGCGAUAAUUAAUGUGAAUUGCAGAAUUCCGUGAAUCAUCGAGUCUUUGAACGCACAUUGCGCCUCAUGGCAUUCCGUGAGGCAUGCCCAUCUCAGCGUUAGAAAAUAUUCUCAAAUUUUAGUUUUGUGCUAAAAUUUAGAUCAUGUCAAGGAAGCUAUUACUAUUAUUGUGAUCGCUCUUUGGAAAUUGAUAGGUCUUUGAGUUGCUACUCAUAGAACGUGAUGAAUCUUUCUUCGUUCUAUUGUAAUUCACUCUGGUAGUCCUAAAACUUGUAUGCCUGUGGCAUAUCUUGUAAUUUGACCUGAGAUUGGGUAGGGAUACCCGCUGAACUUAAGCAUAUCAAUAAGCGGAGGA